rnacentral:rRNA from 1 species
AACGAACGCUGGCGGCAUGCCUAACACAUGCAAGUCGAACGCCCUCUUCGGAGGGAGUGGCGCACGGGUGCGUAACGCGUGGGAACCUGCCCUUAGGUUCGGAAUAACUCAGAGAAAUUUGAGCUAAUACCGGAUAAUGUCUUCGGACCAAAGAUUUAUCGCCUUUGGAUGGGCCCGCGUAGGAUUAGCUAGUUGGUGGGGUAAAGGCCUACCAAGGCGACGAUCCUUAGCUGGUCUGAGAGGAUGAUCAGCCACACUGGGACUGAGACACGGCCCAGACUCCUACGGGAGGCAGCAGUGGGGAAUAUUGGACAAUGGGCGAAAGCCUGAUCCAGCAAUGCCGCGUGAGUGAUGAAGGCCUUAGGGUUGUAAAGCUCUUUUACCAGGGAUGAUAAUGACAGUACCUGGAGAAUAAGCUCCGGCUAACUCCGUGCCAGCAGCCGCCGUAAAAC